AGUACUUUCUCAGCCAGAGAUUAGCCGACAACUUUAAAGUCUUUACACCAGAUAAAGAUUUGAUUCAUUUUCUGGCUUAGUUUUUCUAAAACUUUUAGAAAACUGAGAAAUGUAUAAACCACUUUUUCUCGUUACUUGCAUAAUAAUUAAUUCCUGUAACCCUGUCCAAUCUAGCAGUACGGAUAAAUUGGGAAAGAGAUUUAUGAAAACAGAUCGAGAUGGAGGAGUCCAAAAUUCGCGAAAUUUUGUUAGCAUCCCAAAAACUACAUGGAAUUCGACCCCAGUUUGUCCUGCUCGAGGGAAUGCAACUUCACAUGGGGGAAGACGAAUUAACGAGAAAAUAGAUUCCCGCGGUGGAUAUGUUCCCAACUUUUUGGCAGCGCUUCCUCGCGCAAUGGACAUUUUAGGAUUGGGAAUUUUAUUCGUACGAACGGUCGCGAUUGGGACCCAGUUUCCGCUAAUUUAUCCAAUUUUCCUCCCACUCGUUAUCCUCUUGUCCAUCGGGAUUUAUUUCGUCCCGAUUUAAAAACUGUGUAGAAUUUGUACGCAUUAGUGCCUAUGUGUAUGUAUAUAAUGUGUCUACCGGAACGUUGUAUAUCUACGUAUGUAUCAUCUAUAAACGUAGUACUACAUACAGUUUUAACCAAUUUUACACUCUUAAAAAUCUGGCUUUGUUUAUCACGAAAGUAUUGGUUUCUCAGUGUUAAAGUCGCUACCGUUUGGUAUUAAAAUUAAACCGGUCGGUAAAAUUUGCUACUGAUGUGGUAAACAUUUCAUACCGAGCUAUUACUACCGGGUAUUAUUAAUCAAUGCCACGUUAGUCGAGUCAUAAGUCAUAACUACUAGUAACAUAUUAAGUGAGUUUCGAGCUAAUUAUUAGGAUGGAACUUAACACCGGAACUGGAAGAAUAUGUCUUUUUAUGUAAAGUGAAAGUGUUUACGGGUCAAAUCAUCUUACUUUUGUCAAGUUGUGAAAUUAGGUUAUUCAUAAUAAAAACGUAUGUAUCUUACUUACAAGUAGGUUAUGCAUAUUCGUAUAGUUUAGUCUUUUUAAAUACGGCAUUUAACACGCAUUUCUCCAAGCUCAAAAUUAUCCAAUUGUCGAGGUCAGUAAAAAGAAAAGUCAGUCAACUUAAUCGGCUGGUCUAGACGCUGAGGAAAGUUACCAGGUAAUUAAUACCGCAAUUAGAGCCAAUCUUCAAGCUAAAUCUUUCCCCUCACUAUGUUUUUCACCGGUUAGUGUCAAUUUCAACUAAUUAGCAGCAUUAGCAGAAGGAAUAAAUAAAAUAUCGAAAACAACACUUGCUACGCCGUUAGCUUUGUAUGUAUAACUAACUGCAUGGCAAAUAUAACUGAAUAUCACGUUCUUUUGUCAAGUAUACUAAUUUGGACUGCAGAAAUAAACACGAAGGACACCCAUGAAUCGUCUAGCUGCCUAGUAUUGCGUUGUCCUUUGUAUGGAUUUCUUGUGGGGCUAAUAAAACAACACAAUUUCACUUUGUGUUAAACUUAGUGCUUUUGGAGAUAUGUAAAUGGAUGCAAUCAAUAAAUCAUGUAAAUAUCUGUAUACUAAUAAAAAAUAAGUACGAUUGUUUAAUUUGCUAAAAACUCAAAGUAAGAAAAUUUGAAAUUGACUAGUCUAGCUCGCAGACGGGAGAUAGAUAUAUUUGUAAUGGAUGCGGGACGAUAUUCAAAUAUCUUAAUUAAGAUUAUUGAAUUAAUCUUAAUUCAAUCUUCAAUGAAUUAAUCUUAAUUAAGACAAUGUGUGUACUUUACUAAUAUUAUGUACUUGAUUUUAAGCUGAUGUUGUUCCCUACUUUCGAAGUAGAUUUAUGACAACAUAAAAAAGCGCAAUGAAGAAAAUUCAAUUUUUGCUUCACACUAAAUAACAUUUUUAAAAAUUUAUCCAAGGUUGAGUAAAAUAGAGGAUAGAGUAGAAUAGAGGAGACCAACAACGUAUGCAUGUAAAAUUUUUCCAACGUUUUGUAAAUUUUACACAACUUUAUUUAGAUUGUACAUAAAACACUGAUAAAAACAUGAUUCGGAACCCUGUUUGUCGUGUAUCAGAUUACAUUCUAAUUAAUUGUAUCCCAAACAAACAAAUUAUUUUGUGAUGACGCACAUUGUAACCAUGUUCGAAAUGGUGAUGCAUUAUGCAAUGGAUUUCCACUCCCUCGUCUCUUAACUGGCUGAUUUCAGCUAAUUGUCAUGUUUGUUAAAAAAUCUUCUCGUAUUUGCGACUGUAUAUUGGACAUGCAUAAAUUAUAAGUCUAUUGAAUUUAUGAAUGUACAUACAUAAAUAAUAUUUAUCUGCCUUGUCGUCUACGACGAAUUUAUUUAAGACGAAUCAAGUUAAUUCCUUUUUAAGAUCGAGGCUGAAGUAGAAACCGAUUUAUUCACGAAUAGACAGUUGUUUAAGAAGGUGAAAUUUAUAAUUUGAUUUUCGAGAAAUUCAUCAUUAGUUACAAUAUUUUGUUUCAUCUAUUUAUUUAGUAUGCAUGUUGGAAACUACAUUUUGGCGGGAUUACUAAUUUUUAACCAUUUUUCCAAAUGCUCGGACUCAAGUAGAAAAAUGGACCAUUUUAAAGAAGUUGUACUCCGCGGAGAAGAUAUUACGGGUGGGCAGCGAAACCUCAACACCGAAAAGUUUUCUGCACCAACCUUUCCCAUUUGUCCAUCGAAUAAUUCCUCUCGAGAUGCGCGUAUCAGUAGUCACGAAGUUUUCAAUUUCUUAGGAGCACUUCCACGAGCCAUGGAAAUUCUUGGACUAGGGAUUCUGUUCAUUCGUACAGUAGCUAUCGGAACGCAGUUUCCCCUCCUUUAUCCAAUCUUUAUUCCUCUCGUGGCCAUUUUAUCGAUUGGAAUAUAUUUUAUUCCUAUUCCCAAUUAACAACCAAAUUGUUUGCAAAAACUAAGGAGGAUUAUGCAACUUCCUAGGAGAACCUGUACCAGAAACGGUGUGCAAAACCAAUUGUUCCAUGUUGGAGGCGCCAAUGUUCCAUUGUCUGAAUGGCCAAAAGUGUUGCUUACUGUCAAAGACGGGGGCUGUUGAGACACCCUGAAUUUUUAGAGGUGUUAAUAUAUAUGUUUCCCAAUAUUGAUGAUGUAAUAUACAUUAUGUAUAAAUAUAAUUAGUAGAUAAAACUGCAAGUUACUCGAUUAGAUACAUCACAUCAAUAAACUGUUUUCUGUUUUAUGUAAUCAA